rnacentral:rRNA from 1 species
AACGAACGCUGGCGGCAUGCCUAACACAUGCAAGUCGAACGAGACCUUCGGGUCUAGUGGCGCACGGGGUCGUAACGCGUGGGAACCUGCCCUUAGGUUCGGAAUAACUCCCCGAAAGGGGUGCUAAUACCGGAUAAUGUCUUCGGACCAAAGAUUUAUCGCCUUUGGAUGGGCCCGCGUUGGAUUAGCUAGUUGGUAGGGUAAAAGCCUACCAAGGCGACUAUCCAUAGCUGGUCUGAGAGGAUGAUCAGCCACACUGGGAGUGAGAAACGGCCCAGACUCCUACGGGAGGCAGCAGUGGGGAAUAUUGGACAAUGGGCGAAAGCCUGAUCCAGCAAUGCCGCGUGAGUGAUGAAGGCCUUAGGGUUGUAAAGCUCUUUUACCCGGGAUGAUAAUGACAGUACCGGGAGAAUAAGCUCCGGCUAACUACGUG